rnacentral:rRNA from 1 species
GACGAACGCUGGCGGCGUGCUUAACACAUGCAAGUCGAACGGAAAGGCCCUGCUUUUGUGGGGUGCUCGAGUGGCGAACGGGUGAGUAACACGUGAGUAACCUGCCCUUGACUUUGGGAUAACUUCAGGAAACUGGGGCUAAUACCGGAUAGGAGCUCCUGCUGCAUGGUGGGGGUUGGAAAGUUUCGGCGGUUGGGGACGGACUCGCGGCUUAUCAGCUUGUUGGUGGGGUAGUGGCUUACCAAGGCUUUGACGGGUAGCCGGCCUGAGAGGGUGACCGGCCACAUUGGGACUGAGAUACGGCCCAGACUCCUACGGGAGGCAGCAGUGGGGAAUAUUGCACAAUGGGCGGAAGCCUGAUGCAGCAACGCCGCGUGCGGGAUGACGGCCUUCGGGUUGUAAACCGCUUUCGCCUGUGACGAAGCGUGAGUGACGGUAAUGGGUAAAGAAGCACCGGCUAACUACGUGCCAGCAGCCGCGGUGAUACGUAGGGUGCGAGCGUUGUCCGGAUUUAUUGGGCGUAGAGGGCUCGUAGGUGGUUGAUCGCGUCGGAAGUGUAAUCUUGGGGCUUAACCCUGAGCGUGCUUUCGAUACGGGUUGACUUGAGGAAGGUAGGGGAGAAUGGAAUUCCUGGUGGAGCGGUGGAAUGCGCAGAUAUCAGGAGGAACACCAGUGGCGAAGGCGGUUCUCUGGGCCUUUCCUGACGCUGAGGAGCGAAAGCGUGGGGAGCGAACAGGCUUAGAUACCCUGGUAGUCCACGCUGUAAACGGUGGGUACUAGGUGUGGGGUCCAUUCCACGGGUUCCGUGCCGUAGCUAACGCUUUAAGUACCCCGCCUGGGGAGUACGGCCGCAAGGCUAAAACUCAAAGGAAUUGACGGGGCCCCGCACAAGCGGCGGAGCAUGCGGAUUAAUUCGAUGCAACGCGUAGAACCUUACCUGGGUUUGACAUGGAUCGGGAGUGCUCAGAGAUGGGUGUGCCUCUUUUGGGGUCGGUUCACAGGUGGUGCAUGGCUGUCGUCAGCUCGUGUCGUGAGAUGUUGGGUUAAGUCCCGCAACGAGCGCAACCCUUGUUCACUGUUGCCAGCACGUUAUGGUGGGGACUCAGUGGAGACCGCCGGGGUCAACUCGGAGGAAGGUGGGGAUGACGUCAAGUCAUCAUGCCCCUUAUGUCCAGGGCUUCACGCAUGCUACAAUGGCUGGUACAGAGAGUGGCGAGCCUGUGAGGGUGAGCGAAUCUCGGAAAGCCGGUCUCAGUUCGGAUUGGGGUCUGCAACUCGACCUCAUGAAGUCGGAGUCGCUAGUAAUCGCAGAUCAGCAACGCUGCGGUGAAUACGUUCCCGGGGCU